GAAGAUGAUGAAGAAAGAAAAAAUGUUUUAAGACAAUCAUUGACAGCUCGCAGCUAGAUUAUACUCAACAACUGAAUCAGGAACUGGAUGGCAAAUACAAUUUAUGAUACCAUGUGUUGACCAAGUCCAUCAGAAAUGGUUGAUGUCUCAUCAUCGCAGUUGGAUACUACAGGAUCCACCAAGGUGCCAGAGUAUAGGGGGACUGGAGGUUGAAGUAGCUGCAUGGCAAGCCUUUGGGCCCCAAACUACAGCUGCUCUUAUCUGACAGACCACUAGCAGCUCUCCUGGUACUCUUUGGAGCUUCCCCAUUCACCAUCACCAAUGAGCUGCUUAUAGAUUACGGAUGGUAAGUGGUUCCCCAGGGUCUACAUGGAAAGCACAAGAAUUCAGGACAGCUUUAAAAAUUACAGGAAAGUUACCAGUAGUUUCAAUCUGCUCAGACUUAAGAACAGCAUUUCUCCAAGCAGCAUGGAUCCUCUGUGCUGUCUGUAUUUCUCCAGCUGGUACCACUGUAUCGGUAAGCAUUAAUGUUACUUAUUAGACAUCAGAACGAACCAAAGGCAAGCCAAUCACUUCCUUAAAUCAACAGUGUUUUCAUAGAAUGGUUUAGAUUGGAAAAGACUUUAAAGAUCACUCAGCUCCAACCCCCUGCUGGGAGCUGGUUGCCACCCACCAGCUCAGGCUGCCCAGGGCCCAUCUCCAGGGCUGGGGCAUAUAUCACCUUGAUAUCCCACAGAUAUGGGCACGUGGCUAUUAGGUCUCCCCACAGCCAUUUCUUCUCCAAGCAGAAGCAACUCCAUGUUCUCUGCCUCUUCUCACAAAGUACUGCAGUCUUGUCUGUCCUGGGACCCUCUCCUAAACGCAGUCCAAAGUUAGGAUCCAAGGUUCUUGUGGCACAGAGCCGUCAGGGGCAAAGCCAGGCACAGCAUUCCAGCUUGAACCUUAGAAUUACAAAGUAUAGGAGUGCAGUAACUGCCCUCCAACCACUGGCUG